CUUUCUUCCUACUCGAGUUUCAAUACUUACCUAUCAUACUUAAGGCUUCAUCAAGUCUUUUAUACUGUCUCAUAGUUGAUCCAAAAGAGCUACAGCUCAUUAUGGCGUCAGUUUGGCUUUAAUGCUAAAUUUCGCAAACACGCUGAACUAGAUUGACAAUAAUAAAAAAUGAACUUUAUUCGUCACUUGCUGUGUUACUUAUUAUUAAGAAUCUCAAUUAUGCUAAACAAAUUUUGACACGCAAAAAAUGCUACAAUAGAAACGGAAACGGUUGCACUCACGGAUCGUGACUGGAACAAGUAUAGCAAUCCCGCCAUAAGACCUAGAAGUUACUCUUCGGUUGCCACCAGGUGGCAUAUGAGUAGCAUAUUUCUAUGAAAUCUUUUGAUGGCUGUCUGCUGUCUGCUUAAGUGGGCAUUGAUGGCAUGUUAAUUUUUAAAAAGUUUGUACUUCAAAUAUAGGAACUAUCUUGCUUUCGGCGGAUUAUUCUCAGUUGGAACUUCGAAUAUUGGCGCAUUUGAGCGAAGACGCAGGUCUUUGUUCUGUUCUAGCCAACCCGAUGGCGAUGUUUUCCGCGGCAUUGUAUCGGUUUGGAAAAAGAAAAAGCAAGAAGAAGUCAGAGACGAUGAAAGGCAAAAAGCGAAACAAAUCUGCUACGGGAUUGUUUACGGCAUGGGAUGUAAAAGUUUAGCCGAACAGUUGGAAGUCGGGGAAGAAGAGGCUCAACUCUUUGUGAACACUUUCCACGCAAGGUAUCCUAGUCAACCGAUGUGGAAAAAAAUUCAGGAGGAAAAUGAAUUGAGCUGCUGACAUUGGCCUAUUCUGGAAUACAUCAGUUUGCAUCAUAAUCAGAAAGGUAAUAUUGCCUCUUUUAAUUCCUUAUCCAGUUGUAGCUAUGACUUGAGUCUGCGUAGAUAAAUUUCUUAGCUUUAUUUGAAAUUUGAGGCUGUGAUAACUUUUUGAAAACGACAAGAUAUUUUCUAAACUAAAGCUUCACUAGAUCUACCCAAAAGCAAGCAAUCUUUAUUUCAACAUAUAGAUAGCAAUUACUUGUUACACCAAAAGUACCCC